rnacentral:rRNA from 1 species
UACGAAGGGAGCGAGCGUUUGUUCGGAAUCACUGGGCGUAAAGCGUGCGUAGGCGGUUUUGUAAGUAAGAAGUGAAAGCCUGGGGCUUAACCUCAGAAUUGCUUUUUAGACUGCAAAACUGGAGUACUGGAGAGGUUAGUGGAAUUCCGAGUGUAGAGGUGAAAUUCGCAGAUAUUCGGAGGAACACCAGUGGCGAAGGCGACUAACUGGACAGUAACUGACGCUGAGGCACGAAAGCGUGGGGAUCAAACAGG